UACGGGGGGGAGCAAGCGUUGUUCGGAUUUACUGGGCGUAAAGGGCGCGUAGGCGGCCUCCGCAAGUCGACUGUGAAAUCUCCGGGCUUAACCCGGAAAGGUCAGCCGAAACUGCGGGGCUAGAGUGCAGAAGGGGCAACUGGAAUUCUCGGUGUAGCGGUGAAAUGCGUAGAUAUCGAGAGGAACACCUGCGGCGAAGGCGGGUUGCUGGGCUGACACUGACGCUGAAGCGCGAAAGCUAGGGGAGCGAACGGG
rnacentral:rRNA from 1 species